GAUAAACGCUGGCGGCGUGCCUAAUACAUGCAAGUCGAGCGAACAGACGAGGAGCUUGCUCCUCUGACGUUAGCGGCGGACGGGUGAGUAACACGUGGAUAACCUACCUAUAAGACUGGGAUAACUUCGGGAAACCGGAGCUAAUACCGGAUAAUAUAUUGAACCGCAGGGUUCAAUAGUGAAAGACGGUUUUGCUGUCACUUAUAGAUGGUUCCGCGCCGCAUUAGCUAGUUGGUAAGGUAACGGCUUACCAAGGCAACGAUGCGUAGCCGACCUGAGAGGGUGAUCGGCCACACUGGAACUGAGACACGGUCCCGACUCCUACGGGAGGCAGCAGUAGGGAAUCUUCCGCAAUGGGCGAAAGCCUGACGGAGCAACGCCGCGUGAGUGAUGAAGGUCUUCGGAUCGUAAAACUCUGUUAUUAGGGAAGAACAAAUGUGUAAGUAACUAUGCACGUCUUGACGGUACCUAAUCAGAAAGCCACGGCUAACUACGUG
rnacentral:rRNA from 1 species